UACAGGGGGUGCAAACGUUGCUCGGAAUUAUUGGGCGUGAAGCGCACGUAGGCGGUUUGUUAUGUCGGAUGUGAAAGCCCUUGGCUCAACUGAGGAAGUGCAUCCGAAACUGGCAAGCUAGAGUAUGUAAGAGGGUCGCGGAAUUCCCGGUGUAGAGGUGAAAUUCGUAGAUAUCGGGAGGAACACCGGUGGCGAAGGCGGCGACCUGGGACAAUACUGACGCUGAGGUGCGAAAGCGUGGGGAGCAAACAGG
rnacentral:rRNA from 1 species